rnacentral:rRNA from 1 species
AUUGAACGCUGGCGGAAUGCUUUACACAUGCAAGUCGAGCGGCAGCGCGGGGCAACCUGGCGGCGAGCGGCGAACGGGUGAGUAAUACAUCGGAACGUGCCCAGACGUGGGGGAUAACUACUCGAAAGAGUAGCUAAUACCGCAUAUGAUCUAAGGAUGAAAGCGGGGGAUCGCAAGACCUCGCGCGUUUGGAGCGGCCGAUGGCAGAUUAGGUAGUUGGUGGGGUAAAGGCUUACCAAGCCCGCGAUCUGUAGCUGGUCUGAGAGGACGACCAGCCGCACUGGGACUGAGACACGGCCCAGACUCCUACGGGAGGCAGCAGUGGGGAAUUUUGGACAAUGGGCGAAAGCCUGAUCCAGCCAUUCCGCGUGCAGGAUGAAGGCCCUCGGGUUGUAAACUGCUUUUGUACAGAACGAAAAAGCUCUGGUUAAUACCUGGAGCCCAUGACGGUACUGUAAGAAUAAGCACCGGCUAACUACGUGCCAGCCGCCGCAGUAA